UUUAAUCAAUAGUUCUAAUGCAAAAAAAAUAGCAUUAAUGUUAAAGAAAGCUGCAAUGUAGUCAAUAACCUGUGGUGAGUCAGUAGCCUGUUCACUAAGCUGUACCUGAACCAUUCAGUAUGUUAAAAUUAAUGCAUAAGCUAAAAUUAGCCAAAAUGCUAAUAGUAGCCUAAAUGCUGGCAGUGGCAUGUGCAACAUCACUAACAUGUUGUUUUAAUUUGACUUGUUCCAUUCAGUAUACUAAACAUGUGUAAUUAAUAAGAAAAUUAGCUAAUAGCUAACAUUAGGUAAAAGACUAAUGCUAAUGCAGCAAAUGCUAAUGUUUGUGCUAAUGUUAAUAAACUCCCUUGCUGCACAAUGCCUUUACCUUAAUUAACAGGACAGGAGACCAACGGGACUCGUUACGAAGCCCUGGAAGAAGGUCGGGAGAACAACAGAACUCUCUAUGAAGCCCUGGAGGUCAACUUGGAGACCACCGGGACUUGCUAUGAAUCCCUGGAGGCAGGCCGGGAGACUGACAGGACUUGCUACCAAACCACGGAAGCAGGCCGGGAGACCAACAGGACUCACGAUGAACCCUAGAGGUCAGCCUGGAGACCAACAGGACUCGCUAUGAACCCUAGAGGUCAGGUCGGAGACCAACAGGAAUCGCCAUCAACCCUAGAGGUCAUCCCGGAGACCAACAGGACUCGCCAUCAACCCUAGAGGUCAGCCCGGAGACCAACAGGACUCGCCAUCAACCCUAGAGGUCAGCCCGGAGACCAACAGGUCUCGCUACCAAGCCAUGGAAGCAGGCCAGGAGACCAACAGGACUCACGAUGAACCCUAGAGGUCAGCCCAGCGACCAACAGGACUCGCUACCAAAGCCAUGGAAGCAGGCCGGGAGACCAUCAGGACUCGCUAUGACCCCUAGAGGUCAGCCAGGAGACCAACAGGACUCUAGUAGGCUGAUUUUUUUUUAAUUAUUUUUGUUUUAUUAUUUUUUUUAUUUUCUAAAUUUAGACAGGAAGUAAUGUGGGUCAGUCCACUUUCUAUAAGUGCAAGGGCCUGGUGAAGGACAAGCAGGCAUUUGGUUUGGGACCGAUGGUUUUUAAGAGUGGUAGCAUGAGAACAAAUGAAAGUUUGAUCUCUGUAAUUGUUUGGUGAAAGAGGAAAUAAAUCACCAAGAACAAUCAAUAAGCUUGGACAUUGAACCUUCUUUUGCCUGUGUCUAGAAACAUGACCCUAGUGCCCUAGUAGUGGCUUGGUGGAACUUUUAUUGGAUGUUUGGCUGUCAGAAGUGGU